GAUGUGGUCUACCAACGGAAAAUGGGCUUUCGUGUCAGUGCCGCGAGUUGGUAUGACCAUGCCUAUGACAAUGUCGGUUCCAACUCCAACCCUUUUCC
rnacentral:tRNA from 1 species